rnacentral:rRNA from 1 species
AGUCGAGGGGUAUAGUUCUUCGGAACUAGAGACCGGCGCACGGGUGCGUAACGCGUAUGCAAUCUACCUUUUACAGAGGGAUAGCCCAGAGAAAUUUGGAUUAAUACCUCAUAGUAUUAUGAAAUGGCAUCAUUUUAUAAUUAAAGUCACAACGGUAAAAGAUGAGCAUGCGUCCCAUUAGCUAGUUGGUAAGGUAACGGCUUACCAAGGCUACGAUGGGUAGGGGUCCUGAGAGGGAGAUCCCCCACACUGGUACUGAGACACGGACCAGACUCCUACGGGAGGCAGCAGUGAGGAAUAUUGGACAAUGGGCGCAAGCCUGAUCCAGCCAUGCCGCGUGCAGGAUGACGGUCCUAUGGAUUGUAAACUGCUUUUAUACAGGAAGAAACACUGGUUCGUGAACCAGCUUGACGGUACUGUAAGAAUAAGGAUCGGCUAACUCCGUGCCAGCAGCCGCGGUAAUACGGAGGAUCCAAGCGUUAUCCGGAAUCAUUGGGUUUAAAGGGUCCGUAGGCGGUUUAAUAAGUCAGUGGUGAAAGCCCAUCGCUCAACGGUGGAACGGCCAUUGAUACUGUUAAACUUGAAUUAUUAGGAAGUAACUAGAAUAUGUAGUGUAGCGGUGAAAUGCUUAGAGAUUACAUGGAAUACCAAUUGCGAAGGCAGGUUACUACUAAUUGAUUGACGCUGAUGG